UCUACGGGAGGCAGCAGUGAGGAAUAUUGGUCAAUGGACGAGAGUCUGAACCAGCCAAGUAGCGUGAAGGAUGACUGCCCUAUGGGUUGUAGACUUCUUUUAUAUGGGAAUAAAAUGUUCCACGUGUGCGGUUUUGUAUGUACCAUAUGAAUAAGGAUCGGCUAACUCCGUGCCAGCAGCCGCGGUAAUACGGAGGAUCCGAGCGUUAUCCGGAUUUAUUGGGUUUAAAGGGGGCGUAGGGGGAUUUUUAAGGCGGUUGUGAAAGUUUGGGGCUCAACCGUAAAAGUGCAGUUGAAACUGGGAGCCUUGAGUACAGUAGAGGUGGGCGGAAUGCGUGGUGUAGCGGUGAAAUGCUUAGAUAUCACGAAGAACCCCGAUUGCGAAGGCAGCUCACUGGACUGCAACUGACACGGAGGCUCGAAAGUGUGGGUAUCAAACAGGAUUAGAUACCCUUGUAGUC
rnacentral:rRNA from 1 species